GAGUUUGAUCCUGGCUCAGGAUGAACGCUAGCUAUAGGCUUAACACAUGCAAGUCGAGGGGAAACGGCAUUAUGUGCUUGCACAUUUUGGACGUCGACCGGCGCACGGGUGAGUAUCGCGUAUCCAACCUUCCCUCCACUCGGGGAUACCCCGUUGAAAGACGGCCUAAUACCCGAUGUUGUCCACAUAUGGCAUCUGACGUGGACCAAAGAUUCAUCGGUGGAGGAUGGGGAUGCGUCUGAUUAGCUUGUUGGUGCGGGUAACGGCCCACCAAGGCGACGAUCAGUAGGGGUUCUGAGAGGAAGGUCCCCCACAUUGGAACUGAGACACGGUCCAAACUCCUACGGGAGGCAGCAGUGAGGAAUAUUGGUCAAUGGACGUAAGUCUGAACCAGCCAAGUAGCGUGCAGGAUUGACGGCCCUAUGGGUUGUAAACUGCUUUUGUUGGGGAGUAAAGUGAGGCACGCGUGCCUUUUUGCAUUUACCCUUCGAAUAAGGACCGGCUAAUUCCGUGCCAGCAGCCGCGGUAAUACGGAAGGUCCAGGCGUUAUCCGGAUUUAUUGGGUUUAAAGGGAGUGUAGGCGGUCUGUUAAGCGUGUUGUGAAAUUUAGGUGCUCAACAUCUACCUUGCAGCGCGAACUGGCGGACUUGAGUGCACGCAACGUAUGCGGAAUUCAUGGUGUAGCGGUGAAAUGCUUAGAUAUCAUGACGAACUCCGAUUGCGAAGGCAGCGUACGGGAGUGUUACUGACGCUUAAGCUCGAAGGUGCGGGUAUCGAACAGGAUUAGAUACCCUGGUAGU
rnacentral:rRNA from 1 species